rnacentral:SRP_RNA from 1 species
CCAGAUCCCUCGUGCGGCAUUACCGUACUGAACUCCCCCAGGGCUGGAAGGCAGCAAGGGUAGGUGCGCUCUAAUGGGUGCACGGGGGGUCCUAAUU